GCUUAACACAUGCAAGUCGAGGGGCAGCACUUCUUCGGAUGGUGGCGACCGGCGCACGGGUGCGUAACGCGUAUAGAACUUACCUUUUACAGAGGGAUAGCCUUUAGAAAUGAAGAUUAAUACCUCAUAGCAUUGAGAUUUGGCAUCAAAUUUUAAUUAAAGAUUUAUCGGUAAAAGAUGGCUAUGCGUCCUAUUAGCUAGAUGGUGAGGUAACGGCUCACCAUGGCAACGAUAGGUAGGGGUCCUGAGAGGGAGAUCCCCCACACUGGUACUGAGACACGGACCAGACUCCUACGGGAGGCAGCAGUGAGGAAUAUUGGGCAAUGGAGGCAACUCUGACCCAGCCAUGCCGCGUGCAGGAAUAAGGUCCUAUGGAUUGUAAACUGCUUUUAUACAGGAAGAAACACUCGGACGUGUCCGAGCUUGACGGUACUGUAUGAAUAAG
rnacentral:rRNA from 1 species